rnacentral:rRNA from 1 species
AUGAUCUUGCAUUCGGUGCACUCGAUCCCAGUGGGUUUCCACUCAGGGAUUCAUGUCAAUUAUGAUCAUCUGAAAUGCCUGUUUGCAUGGCCCAACAUGAAAGCUGGUGUCACCAAGUUUGUAGCUGCUUGUGGAGUGUGCAAGCAAGCGAAACCAAAGCAUGUUCGCACCCCAUGCCUUCUGCAGCCGUUGGAAGUGCCGCCACAUCCCUGGCAUACGGUCACUCUGGAUUUCGUGGAAGGUUUGCCUAACUCUAGGGGUAUACUUGUAUCAUGGUGGUUGUGGACAAGCUCACCGGAUAUGCACACUUUGUGCCUCUCGCCCAUCCUUUCUCAGCUAUCCAAGUGGCGUCAGCCUUCAUGA